AGAGUUGAUCAUGGCUCAGGACGAACGCUGGCGGCGUGCUUAACACAUGCAAGUCGAACGAGGUUAGGGAAGAGCUUGCUUGGAACUAAACCGAGUGGCGGACGGGUGAGUAACGCGUGAAUAAUCUGUCCUAUACAGGGGGAUAACGCAUCGAAAGAUGUGCUAAUACCGCGUAGGACCACGGCAUCGCAUGGUGCUGAGGUGAAAGGAGCAAUCCAGUAUAGGGUGAGUUCGCGUCUGAUUAGAUAGUUGGUGAGGUAACGGCCCACCAAGUCAACGAUCAGUAGCCGACCUGAGAGGGUGAUCGGCCACAUUGGGACUGAGACACGGCCCAGACUCCUACGGGAGGCAGCAGUGGGGAAUAUUGGGCAAUGGGCGAAAGCCUGACCCAAGCAACGCCGCGUGAAGGAAGAAGGUUUUCGGAUUGUAAACUUCUGUCCUAUGUGAAGAGCGAGAGACGGUAGCAUAGGAGGAAGCCCCGGCUAACUACGUGCCAGCAGCAGC
rnacentral:rRNA from 1 species